rnacentral:rRNA from 1 species
AGUGAACGCUGGCGGUAGGCCUAACACAUGCAAGUCGAACGGCAGCACAGUAAGAGCUUGCUCUUACGGGUGGCGAGUGGCGGACGGGUGAGGAAUACAUCGGAAUCUACUUUUUCGUGGGGGAUAACGUAGGGAAACUUACGCUAAUACCGCAUUCGACCUACGGGUGAAAGCAGGGGGUCUUCGGACCUUGCGCGAUUGAAUGGGCCGAUGCCGGAUUAGCUAGUUGGCGGGUUAAAGGCCCACCAAGGCGACGAUCCGUAGCUGGUCUGAGAGGAUGAUCAGCCACACUGGAACUGAGACACGGUCCAGACUCCUACGGGAGGCAGCAGUGGGGAAGAGUGGACAAUGGGCGCAAGCCUGAUCCAGCCAUACAGCGUGGGUGAAGAAGGCCUUCGGGUUGUAAAGUCCUUUUGUUGUGAAAGACAAGCAGAAGGCUAAUACCCCGCUGUUCUGACGGUAGCCAAAGAAUAAGCACCGGCUAACUUCGUG